UACGGAGGGUGCAAGCGUUAUCCGGAUUUACUGGGUUUAAAGGGUGCGUAGGUGGGCAGGUAAGUCAGUGGUGAAAUCCCCGGGCUUAACCCGGGAACUGCCAUUGAUACUAUCUGUCUUGAAUAUCCUGGAGGUGAGCGGAAUAUGUCAUGUAGCGGUGAAAUGCUUAGAUAUGACAUAGAACACCCAUUGCGAAGGCAGCUCACUACGGGAUCAUUGACACUGAGGCACGAAAGCGUGGGGAUCAAACAGG
rnacentral:rRNA from 2 species